AUGUCUGGUGUGGAACCCAGGGAAAGAUGCUCAGAUAAGAAGGCAAGCAGGAGUUCUGCUCCAUCAAGCAGGAUGUUUCCACCACAGGCUAAAAGGACUCUGACAAAUUUGAAUUCCUCCUCCAACACAGGAGGACAAGAGAAGAUCCCCAGCCGACACACAGGACAGAAGGAAACGUCACUUAACAAGAGUAGCUGGGCAGGCAUUCGGGGGAGAUGCAUACUUGCCCCUUUCGUGGUGAGGCCUCCAAAGGCUGCCGCCCCUGGCCUGGCUCUGGCCUGCUUCUCCUGCUUCUUCGGCACCAAGGCACUUGCCUCCUAGAAUCCUGGACCCUGGCUGAGCAAUGCAGCUGGUGGAGUGCUUGCUGUACCCUAGGGAGUCAGCUUAAUGCUGUAUCUGGAUGGAUUCCAUUCAGUCUUCAGAGGAACCCAGCAAGGAUGCUUUGGGAGAUUCCCAAUCCAGUUCUCCCAAAGGGGAAAUAGAGAACUCACAGCUCCCCCAAGGCAACGGGGCAGGUGGCAGAGCCAUAAUUCAGACUGAGCGCUAUCGCUCACUGCACAGCCUUCCCCUUCCUUCCUCACCCCUCCUCUCCUCUAGUUAGGAAGUUGUCCCCAGUCCAACAGGUGCAUUCUGCCUGCACACAUGUGUAUCUGAAAGGACUGCUAGCCAAAGACCAAGCUCAAGCCCUGCCAGGGGCAGUGCCCUGACCUUCCUGUCAGAUCCACUUUCCCCUCCUGACCACCUGUGCCCUGGGCUCUGUCUUCUAAGAGACAGAUCUGAGUGUGCCCUGCUCCUGCCCAGCACUCUUCUGGAGCUGUCAGCAUAGUCUGAAGUCCGUGAUUUUCAACUCCCACCUUGCAAAGCCAGGAAAAGAAUAAAUUAAAUCCAAAGCAAUUAGCGAAAAGGAAAUAACAAAGAGAUGCCAUUCAAACAGAAAAUAAACAAUAAGUAAAAUUAAAAAGGCAAGCGAUGUUUUUAAAAGCUAAAGAAAAUUAAUAAACUCCUAGCUAGACAGAUUAAAAAAGAGAAAUUAAAAUCACCAACAUUAAGACUAACACAGCACUGCAGCCACGAGACGAGAAGGAAAUGUUAGGAAUGAAUUAGUGCAAGCAAAUUUUAAACACAGAUGAAAUUAUAAAUGCUCAAAUCAUAAUUUACCAAAAACUACACUAGACAAAGCAUAAACAUUAAAAAGAAGAACUAUACAAUCUAAUUUUCUCUACCCUUUAAGGAAAUUAAGUGUUAUCAAAAUUUUUCACAAAGAGAACUCCAAGCAGGGGUACUGCCCUCCCUUCCACUAGCACGAUCCCUUCACUGGUGAGAAAUUUGUAAUUUAAUGUUACCACAUGCAAGAGCAUCGGCACUCUGCCCAUCAUCAAGGGUGUGCCCGGUAGCCGGCCAGCCACUCCGCCCCCGAGCUCCACAUCCCCACAGUGAGCUUCCUCACCACUCCUGGUACCCAUCACCAUAGUAAGUUCUCUAGGUAGGAGAGUCUGGGGAAGGUCCAUGCAGGAGAUAUGCUGAGAGGUUCUCAGAACUGGUGUCUGCAGGAAUAAGCAGAAGGCAGGGUAGGAGCAAGGAGGCAGCCUCCAGGGUCUCAGGAAGCCCACACGGCUCUGCAGGCAGGGCCAGGCCACCCCACCCUGCUGUCAGGAGACCAACUGCCGCACUGACCACUCAGUGGUCAGGGUACCCGAGGAAGAAGGUGUGCACUUGGCCGGGGCAGCUCCCUGCCUUGGCAGACAUUAAGUACUUAGACAUAAAUUUAACCAAAUGGGCAAACAUUGCAGAGUGAAAUUACUGGAGACCUAAGUAAGUGGAGAAAUAUGCCUUGCUCCUGGAACACUCCGUAUCUUUAAGAUGCUAAUUUGCCUCUAAAUCCGUUCAUACAACACGUGCAAUUGUGAAAGAGCCCUCCUCGACCUUUUUGUAGUUUAACAGAAAUGAACUUGAGGUCGUUCACUUGAAGUGACCUCAAAUCUCCUAGCCUCAUACCCCCAUCAGCCAGGUAGAGGGCCUGGCAGGCCACGUGCCUGGCGCCUCAUCUUCCCCCACCGUCACGUGUUCCCCAACUGCAGCCCUGUGUGGGCCGCUCUAUCAUUGUCACCUUGCCAAUUAAUACAACUUUUUAUUAUUUACUUAAUAAUGUCCUUUAAAUUAAGUGACUUUCCAAAAACAUAAUUGUCUCUAGCCUUGUCCUGAGCCAUAAUAUAAACAAAUGAAGAGUUUGAUGUGUGAACGAUUUUUCCUAAUAUAUAUUUGAAGAGUUGUAUGACCGUUAGGAAAAAGGAAAGUUCACUCUCCAUUCGUGGGCUUCGGACCCAUCUCCUUCACUCCCCGCCACCCAGCUGUACACUUUGGGAGAGGCGGGCUGAACAGUGUGAGAGCUGCCUGCGCCUGCAGCCCGUGGAGUGGGCGCAGUGCUGCCGAGACCCACACAACCCAGCUGUGUGGGCCAGGAGAACCGCCCCAGAGUGCCACGAGGUGGUUAUGAGCUGCACAUGCUCCGGGCCCAGGUUUGAGUAGGAUGAGCGUGGCAUCUAAGGGGAGAUAGUUGCAGAGGUUGGGAGAGGAAGAACACAUUGACACGAAUUUCCUCUUGAGGACAGGGUAUCUUCUCCUUCCACAUGGUCUGGUGUUUCUCAUCACUUCAAUUGGAAAGAAAAGCUGCUGGGAUCUCAGUGUGGGAGUUGGCUUCAUACGCUGAUAAUAAUCACAACUUGUACCUGCACAGUAAGCUAAAGCUAUGCUGACAUAAAGAGCAGAAAUUGGAUGCAACCCCAAACACACACGGCACGGCUCCUGCCUCAUCUUUGUGUAACAACCAAGCUGUGAGUCCUCAAGCCGAAAGCCCAGAAGAAGCACAGAUACGGGAGAGGUACAAGUUGCUCCCCGCUUGAACACGUUGGCCCAGAACAUGCUCACUGUGUACAUGUCUUGGUCUCCCGCGCAGUGCACUAAAUUCAGGUGUAUCCAGAGAAAGAAUGAUACGUGUGGCCAGAGAAGCAAAUGAAGUUAAUAGCCCUUAUACUGGGAAUCAGAAAGCUUUUUCUGCAGAGAGGCAGAAAAUCAUAUUUUAGGCUUGAGGGGUAAUGUGGUCUGUGUUGGUCCCUUCCACUCUGCACGGCUAGCACAGGAAAGCAGCUCACAGAGGGUGUGGCCCCUUUUACAGAGAAAUCUCCUCCCACCAUGGCCACCUGACAGCUCACUGGAAAUUGGGGGAGGGCCAAGUCAGGCCGCUUUCUGCAGACAAGCCCACCUCUACUGGUGAAGGAACCUGCUCCUUGAAGAGCUGGUAGGACUGGACCCUGAACCCACAGAAAGGAAGGCUUUGCAUGCAUAAGCCACGUUAGCCCUUGACUUUGGCUUCUGACUCAGACCCCUUGCGAUGUACCUGCUUUCCACCCAGCAGCAUGAGCUCCUGCGACCGACCCACAGCCAUGUCCUCCUUUUCCUUUGAGUCUUCCUGGACCUCACCCCCAGUGUGCAAUGAAACUUCGUUGACUCUCAAGGAGAUAGAAUGUUCUCUUCAACCUGCAGGGAAGAAGUCAAUUUCUUUUUUUUCCAUUCUUUUCUUUUGGCUUAAAAAAAAAAAAACAGAUUUAUUGAGAUAUAACUCACAAAUUCAC
ensembl:lincRNA